UCCGUAGGGUGCGAGCGUUAAUCGGAAUUACUGGGCGUAAAGCGUGCGCAGGCGGUUCGCUGUGUCCUGUGUGAAAGCCCCGGGCUUAACCUGGGAAUGGCAUGGGAAACUGGCGAGCUUGAGUGCGGCAGAGGGGGGUGGAAUUCCGCGUGUAGCAGUGAAAUGCGUAGAGAUGCGGAGGAACACCGAUGGCGAAGGCAGCCCCCUGGGUCGACACUGACGCUCGGGCACGAAAGCGUGGGGAGCAAACAGG
rnacentral:rRNA from 1 species